rnacentral:rRNA from 1 species
AGUGAACGCUGGCGGUAGGCCUAACACAUGCAAGUCGAACGGCAGCACAGUAAGAGCUUGCUCUUACGGGUGGCGAGUGGCGGACGGGUGAGGAAUACAUCGGAAUCUACUUUUUCGUGGGGGAUAACGUAGGGAAACUUACGCUAAUACCGCAUACGACCUACGGGUGAAAGCAGUGGAUCUUCUGACCUUGCGCGAUUGAAUGAGCCGAUGUCGGAUUAGCUAGUUGGCGGGGUAAAGGCCCACCAAGGCGACGAUCCGUAGCUGGUCUGAGAGGAUGAUCAGCCACACUGGAACUGAGACACGGUCAAGACUCCUACGGGAGGCAGCAGUGGGGAAUAUUGGACAAUGGGCGCAAGCCUGAUCCAGCCAGACCGCGUGGGUGAAGAAGGCCUUCGGGUUGUAAAGCCCUUUUGUUGGGAAAGAAAAGCAGCAGGUUAAUACCCCGCUGUUCUGACGGUACCCAAAGAAUAAGCACCGGCUAACUUCGUG